AGCAGCCGCGGUAAUUCCAGCUCCAAUAGCGUAUAUUAAAGUUGUUGCAGUUAAAAAGCUCGUAGUUGAAUUUCGGGAUCAAGGAAUCGGUCAUGCCUCGGUAUGUACUGGUUUUAUUGGUUCUCACCUUCUAAAGAACCAUGAUGUCAUUCAUUUGAUGUUAUGGGGAAUUAGGACUGUUACCUUGAAAAAAUUAGAGUGUUUAAAGCAGGCUUACGCUUGAAUACAUUAGCAUGGAAUAAUGAAAUAGGACAUCAGAUUCUAUUUUGUUGGUUUCUAGGAUCGAUGUAAUGAUUAAUAGGGAUAGUUGGGGGCAUUAGUAUUCAAUUGUCAGAGGUGAAAUUCUUGGAUUUAUUGAAGACUAACUACUGCGAAAGCAUUUGCCAAGGAUGUUUUCAUUAAUCAAGAACGAAAGUUAGGGGAUCGAAGACGAUCAGAUACCGUCGUAGUCUUAACCAUAAACUAUGCCGACUAGGGAUCGGAUGAUGUUAAUUUUAUAAUGACUCAUUCGGCACCUUACG
rnacentral:rRNA from 1 species